CAUAUCAAUAAGCGGAGGAAAAGAAACUAACAAGGAUUCCCCUAGUAACUGCGAGUGAAGCUGGGAAAAGCUCAAAUUUAAAAUCUGACAGUUUCACUGUCCGAGUUGUAAUCUGGAGAAGCAUUUUCUGUGUCGGACCGUGUACAAGUUUCUUGGAAUAGAACGUCAUAGAGGGUGAGAAUCCCGUCCAUGACACGGACUACCGAUGCUUUGUGAUAUGCUCUCGAAGAGUCGAGUUGUUUGGGAAUGCAGCUCAAAAUGGGUGGUAAAUUCCAUCUAAAGCUAAAUAUUGGCGAGAGACCGAUAGCGAACAAGUACCGUGAGGGAAAGAUGAAAAGCACUUUGGAAAGAGAGUUAAACAGUACGUGAAAUUGUUGAAAGGGAAACGCUUGAAGUCAGUCGCGUUGGCAGAGACUCAGCCUUGCUUUGCAUGGUGUACUUCUCAGUUAACGGGUCAACAUCAAUUUCAGUUGGUGGAUAAAGGCAUUGGGAAUGUGGCACCUUCGGGUGUGUUAUAGACCUUUGUUGCAUACACUGACCGGGAUUGAGGAACGCAGCACGCCACUAAGGCCAGGGAUUCGUCCCAUGUAACGUGCUUAGGAUGUUGGCAUAAUGGCUUUAAGCGACCCGUCUUGAAACACGGACCAAGGAGUCUAACAUGCCUGCGAGUAUUAGGGUGGAAAACCCUUGUGCGUAAUGAAAGUGAAAAGUUGGGACCUCUUGCGAGGGCACCGACGCCCGGCCCUGAAGUUUACUGACGGCGCUGCGGUAGAGCAUGUAUGUUGGGACCCGAAAGAUGGUGAACUAUGCCUGAAUAGGGUGAAGCCAGGGGAAACUCUGGUGGAGGCUCGUAGCGAUUCUGACGUGCAAAUCGAUCGUCAAAUUUGGGUAUAGGGGCGAAAGACUAAUCGAACCAUCUAGUAGCU
rnacentral:rRNA from 1 species